UGGAGGGCAAGUCUGGUGCCAGCAGCCGCGGUAAUUCCAGCUCCAAUAGCGUAUAUUAAAGUUGUUGUGGUUAAAAAGCUCGUAGUUGAACCUUGGGCCUGGCUGGCCGGUCCGCCUCACCGCGUGCACUGGUCCGGCCGGGCCUUUCCCUCUGUGGAACCCCAUGCCCUUCACUGGGCGUGGCGGGGAAGCAGGACUUUUACUUUGAAAAAAUUAGAGUGCUCCAGGCAGGCCUAUGCUCGAAUACAUUAGCAUGGAAUAAUAGAAUAGGACGCGCGGUUCUAUUUUGUUGGUUUCUAGGACCGCCGUAAUGAUUAAUAGGGACAGUCGGGGGCAUCAGUAUUCAAUUGUCAGAGGUGAAAUUCUUGGAUUUAUUGAAGACUAACUACUGCGAAAGCAUUUGCCAAGGAUGUUUUCAUUAAUCAGGAACGAAAGUUAGGGGAUCGAAGACGAUCAGAUACCGUCGUAGUCUUAACCAUAAACUAUGCCGACUAGGGAUCGGACGGCGUUAUUACUUGACCCGUUCGGCACCUUACGGGAAAC
rnacentral:rRNA from 1 species